rnacentral:rRNA from 1 species
UACAGAGGGUGCAAGCGUUGUUCGGAAUUACUGGGCGUAAAGCGCGUGUAGGCGGCGGCGUUAGUCGGAUGUGAAAUCCCUCAGCUCAACUGAGGAAGUGCAUUCGAUACUGCGUCGCUUGAAUGUCGGAGGGGAUGGCGGAAUUCCCGGUGUAGAGGUGAAAUUCGUAGAUAUCGGGAGGAACACCUGUGGCGAAGGCGGCCAUCUGGACGGCGAUUGACGCUGAGACGCGAAAGCGUGGGUAGCAAACAGG